rnacentral:rRNA from 1 species
GAUGAACGCUGGCGGCGUGCUUAACACAUGCAAGUCGAACGGUAAGGCCCUUCGGGGUACACGAGUGGCGAACGGGUGAGUAACACGUGAGUAACCUGCCCUUGACUCUGGGAUAACUGCGGGAAACUGUAGCUAAUACCGGAUACGACCCUCGGCGGCAUCGCCAGGGGGUGGAAAGAAUUUCGGUCAAGGAUGGACUCGCGGCCUAUCAGCUAGUUGGUGAGGUAACGGCUCACCAAGGCGACGACGGGUAGCCGGCCUGAGAGGGUGACCGGCCACACUGGGACUGAGACACGGCCCAGACUCCUACGGGAGGCAGCAGUGGGGAAUAUUGGACAAUGGGGGGAACCCUGAUCCAGCAAUGCCGCGUGAGUGAAGAAGGCCUUCGGGUUGUAAAGCUCUUUUGUCAGGGAAGAAACAGCAGCUCUAACACAGUUUGCGAAUGACGGUACCUGAAGAAUAAGCACCGGCUAAC